AUAAUCGGCGACGGUUAUGUCUGAAGGAAGCUGAAGGGGGAACAUGGAACAUAGCGAGAGCGAACCGAGGGUUGGCUUAUGGAGUGGGUAACCCUGCACAAAGUGGGAAAGCCCAAAAGUUGGAUAACUCCUUAAGUUUGGACGGAUGGGUUCAUGUUCGGGCAGGCAAA
rnacentral:ncRNA from 1 species